rnacentral:rRNA from 1 species
GAUGAACGCUGACAGAAUGCUUAACACAUGCAAGUCUUUGGUGAAGCUGUGCUUGCACAGCCUAGCCAAGGCGGACGGGUGAGUAACGCGUAAGGAACUUGCCCUGCAGUCAGGGAUAACAGACGGAAACGACUGAUAAGACCUGGUAAAGUCAGGCGGACUCAUGUCCAGCCUGAUGAAAAGAGAUGCUGCAGGAGAGCCUUGCGUCCUAUUAGCUUGUUGGUGGGGUAACGGCCCACCAAGGCAAUGAUAGGUAGCCGGCCUGAGAGGGUGGACGGCCACAAGGGGACUGAGAUACGGCCCUGACUCCUACGGGAGGCGGCAGUGGGGAAUAUUGGACAAUGGGGGCAACCCUGAUCCAGCAAUUCUGUGUGCACGAUGAAGGUCUUCGGAGUGUAAAGUGCUUUCAGCAGGGAAGAAAAAAAUGACGGUACCUGCAGAAGAAGCGACGGCUAAAUACGUG